UAUACCACGACCAAUCAGUUAUGCAAGUCCCACACGUCAAGCUCGUUCUGAACAAUGACCAAUACACAUUGGAAACUGUAAAAUCUGCUAUGGAAAAAGGCAUACCUUCCGUGGUGGUAAUCACUACCGACUCGGAUACUCACAAACGACAAGACAGUGCCAUUUUGGACAGCAAUAAUGAAAUCAAAAUGAAAAUGCUUCGAAACAGUAAUAUUCCAAAUGUCGCAAUCAACAGAUUUCAAGAAACUUACCAGCACAAAAUAAACCUUUUGGCGGUCAUAAAUCUAAGCGACAUGCCCAAACUGCUUGCGGAGAUGACAUUGGAUGUUUGUUGGGAAGGUGCGUAAUAGCUCGUAUUGAACAUUUUCUUCGAACGUCGCUAUGUAUUGAACAUUGAUUUAGUCUUCCCUAAAACGAAAAUAAUAUUA